ensembl:lncRNA
CACUGAUGGCCUUUUAAAAAUAUUCUGAUUACAUACAGUGGUGGCCAAAAUUGUUAGAACACCUGACAGAUCUGAAAAUAUUGACCUUUUUUGUGCCUCUGAAACAUGAUUUCAUUUCAUAAUGUUCAUGAAACAUGCAGAUGGUUGCUCUGAGCACAACAAAUAUCAGAUGAAGUGAGUCAAACAGUUUUUUAUUCACUUUUAACUUUUAUAUUUGGUAUGUCCACCUUUUGUAGCAAUUGCAGCAGCACAUCUCUCUGGCAUAGUGUUAAUAUAUUUCCUGAGGACUUCAACACUAAUGUUAUCCCAUGCCUUCUGCAACUCAAGCCAAAGGCUUUCCUUUGAAUGUACAAUAGAUCUGUCCAGUUUACUUUCCAACUCGCCCCAAAUUUGCUCGAUGGGGUGGAGGUCUGGACUUUGAGGGGCCAGUCCAAUAACCAAUUCAACAAAAACAACUGAAACCUCUUAAAUAUGCCAAGUGUUCUAACAAUUUUGGCCUCCACUGUGCAUUUUCACAGCGAUCACAAGUAUUUCAUUAUAUUAUUGUAGAUCUUUUACCAGUGACAGGUUAUUUUUGAAGGACUCUUAAAAGUGUGAAAUGUUCUUAUUCUUCCCUGUCUGCUGCCUUUAAUAUCACAUCUCAUGAUGCUACUGAAGUGUGCGUUCUUCAGCCUUUUCAUUUGUCAUUUUCAUCCAGAGAGAUUACUCACAUGACAUAUACAGCAGGGGGUCCAGCUGAGCAGCUGCCAUUAGGAGAAAUGGAAAUGCUCUCUUCAGGUAAUGUUGACCUCCUUGGCAUGAACAAAGUGCCAAAGUCACCUCUGGAUAUCUGAUUAUUCUUAACUUCCAGACCAUGUAACACUAGUCCAACCUUGAGACCCCAAUAGCAGCAUUACGUCUAUCACAGUGCUUUAAAGACAGUCGGAAGCAGAGCAGUGGUGAUGCUGGGGGACCAAAUCUUUCCUUUUAAAACUUUCAGGCAUGUAGCCGUCCUUUCAUCCUGUGCUGGUCUUGCAGCGAGGUAUGCCUGGGAAGAAGAACACAGACGGUUGAAUCUGGAGGAACAUGGAGAGGGUGCUUCAAAGACUAUAGUGUGUAGGCUUUUAUUCUUGUUUUUUUUCAGUGACUUUUGGAGACUAUAAUUGAUCUCUGAGAUGAAAUUGGCAAAUUUAAGAGGAACAAACGUAGAGAAUACUCGCAUCUAUUCUCGACAUCUCCACUCACUCACCUCAUACAUUUUAAAGCUAAUUUGUUUUUCAAGAUUGGACUGCGAUUUUCACAUUUCCUUCUCCCUCCCCUCCCCUCAUCCUCUUACAUUUAGCCUGUAAGCUGAGAACAUUUCGCCAGCUGUCAUGGAAACUGGAACACUGUGUGGUCUGCAACAAACACUUUUUGAAUUACUUUUGAUUUAUUUUAUUUCCUGCAGUAUGGCAUCUUAAUUGCCGGCCCA